GGCUACAUCCUGGCGAAACACUGGUUCCCACACAAUCACCGAAGUUAAGCCAUAUUGAGCCGGCUUAGUACCUAGAUGGGUAACCGCUUGUGAAUACCAGGUGCUGCAAG